rfam:Ictidomys tridecemlineatus contig010804, whole genome shotgun sequence.
AGGGUUGUGGCUCAAUGGUAGAGUGCUUGCCUAGCACAGGUAAGGCACUGAGUUCGAUCCUCAGCACCCCAU